UACGUAGGUGGCAAGCGUUGUCCGGAAUUAUUGGGCGUAAAGCGCGCGCAGGCGGUCCUUUAAGUCUGAUGUGAAAUACUUCGGCUCAACCGGAGAAUUGCCGCUGAAACUGGCGUGCUCGAGGGAGGUAGAGGUGCGUGGAGCUUCCGGUGGAGCGGUGAAAUGCGUUGAUAUCGGAAGGAACACCUGUGGCGAAAGCGAUGCACUGGACCUCUUCUGACGCUGAGGCGCGAAAGCCAGGGGAGCGAACGGG
rnacentral:rRNA from 1 species